rnacentral:rRNA from 1 species
GCGAGUCUAUGUAGUAAUACAAGGCAUACGGCUCAGUAACGCGUAGUCAACCUACCCUAUGGACAAGAAUAAUCUCGGGAAACUGAGCAUAAUUCUUGAUAGAUCAUAAUGCCUGGAAUGGUUUAUGGUUAAAAUGAUUCGUCGCCAUAGGAUGGGACUGCGGCCUAUCAGCUUGUUGGUGAGGUAAUGGCCCACCAAGGCGAUAACAGGUACGGGCUCUGAGAGGAGAAGCCCGGAGAUGGGUACUGAGACAAGGACCCAGGCCCUAUGGGGCGCAGCAGGCGAGAAAACUUUGCAAUGUGCGAAAGCACGACAAGGUUAGUCCGAGUGAUUUCUGCUAAAGAGAUCUUUUGCUAGUUAUAAAACCACUAGUGAAUAAGGGGUGGGCAAGCUCUGGUGUCAGCCGCCGCGGUAAAACCAGCACCUCAAGUGGUCAGGAUGAUUGUUGGGCCUAAAGCAUCCGUAGCCGGCUCUGUAAGUUUUCGGUUAAAGCUAUGCGCUCAACGUAUGGGCUGCCGAAAAUACUGCAGAGAUAGGGAGUGGGAGGGGUAGACGGUACUCGGUAGGAAGGGGUAAAAUCCUUUGAUCUAUC